rnacentral:tRNA from 1 species
GCUCUUGUAGCACAAUUGGUAGUGCGUCUGAUUUGUAAUCAGAAGGUUGGGGGUUCAAGUCCCUUCGGGAGCU